rnacentral:misc_RNA from 1 species
AAGAGUUGCAAACUCCAACAUGUCUGAUCUCUAUCCUCACCGUGCUGGGUGGGGAACCAGGGUGGACCGCUCGCGGGGCAGCAACUGUCAGAGCCGAAACAUCAUGUAUCAUGACGUAUAUGAGUCACUUAUACAAUAAGUCA